GAAAGACCCGAGAUGCUCGUGCUAUUUAAAUUCAUAGCGGAUAUGGAAAUAACGAGCGGAAGAUAAGCGCAGUUUCCUAUUCGUUCGGCUCGUUGCGUAUCUACGCGACUCGCGUUACACCCUGUCGCUCUCUCUCUCUCUCGUCGCACUUUCUUCUCACGCUUAACGUUAAUCGAGAUGAAAUUUUAUCGUUCGACUCGUUACUUCGGUCGGUCGGUGAAACGUUGCCGAAAAGAUAUCCGAAAGAUGGUUGGUUUGGUUCCUUCAAACGCGUUCGCCGUCGAGUCCGGAGAGAGUAAGGAGAAGGGCAAAGAAAACAUAUUGGUACACCGCGAGAGUUUGAAAGCUCUCCAAGUUAGUUCCAAACGAACGUCCGAAAGUCGUUGCUUCGUCGCUCGUAGAAGGAAGGAAAAGUCGCGAUUACGGAGAAACGGCGCCAUUAGUCCCGCCUCCUGCUACCAAACCCCACCACGACGCGCUCCACCGUUGCUCCGCCGUCGCGUCGAUCUUUAUCACACGACGUUACGAUCUAUCGACGUCCGGACCUCUCGUUUCACGCGACCUCUGCUCGCUGGUCCGUACAUGUGCGUCUCCAUCGGAUAUAUCACCCCGAUUAGCACGAUCGAUGAAUUUUAUUAUUUUUUUCGAAUACUUGGGAAUAUCGCGAUGGAAGCUUUACAUAAUUACGAGAUCGUCGGAUUAUUUAUUUAUGAUGCGCGUCGGUCGUGGACGCAUUUUAUAGUAAGUAGGCGCGAGGCCUACAACAGCGUUACAUCGUAAUUCCACGUUACUCCUGUGCGCGGCGCUCGUUUCUUCGCGACGCGAUACGUCGACUAUAAAACAUCAAACCUUUCGUUUCUCCCUUUCGUCCGACGGACGAUCGUAAAAAAGAAAAGAAAAGCGAAAAGGGAAAAUCGAAAGAAUUUAACGUGCUUUAGGAAAAGUCGUUGUAAUUUAGGAGAAAAUCAAAGAGCGAGAGCGACGAGAGUCUCUUGCUCGUGCGCACGCUCGCGCGCACGCCCGCACUUACGUCACGCGCGCAAGGCCUUCGCUAAUCUUCGAUAAAGUAAACACGACUUUUAUCGUCCCGCCGGUUGUCCGUGUCGCGUAGGUUAACGUUAUGGACGAUCUUCCUCGAGGGUGAGGAGGGAAAUCGACGAGGAACGAGUCUUACGUGUACUAGCCACGUUGUAACAACGCGCUGGCGCGAAUACUUUUUUCAUUUUUCUUUUGCUCUUAUAAAACUAAACCGGGCUAGGGAAUAGGGGAGGGAGAGGAGAAUCUAGAGACCGUUCGUGUUUCUUUCAAACCAAAGCAAACGGACGUAAGAAGUCGAGCUCGGCAGUGUUCCAAUGAAAUGGCAAAGUGCAAUGCCGUCACAAUAGAAAAAAUGUUAUAUUGCGAAGAAACAAAGAGCGAGCGAGCGAGCGAGCGAGCGAGAGGGGGCAGAGAGAGAGAGAGAGAGAGAGAGAGAUGGUCUUCCAAGUAAGUCGAGUUUUGUCAAGCGAGGGAAGCGUUAUCUAUUCCGUUGCUCGCUGAGUGUACGCUGGCGUCGCCUCGUGCACGAUAAAGACGCAUACGCAUAUUUACAUAAGUAUAUGAGCGCGUCCGGGUGAGGAAGGAUAAGAAAAGUAAAAGGAGGAGAAAAAAGGAAACGCGUUAAACGUAGGCGAAUUAAUACCAACGAACGAAGGAAGAAGGAAAACGAUUUAUCGUGUCUACCAUGGCUUCGGAUCCUUUCUCGGUAUAAGGCAAUAAGAAUUAAUUACGUGAAAAAAAAAGAAGAAGAAGAAAACAGAUAAAAGAGAGAUAGAGUACAUGUACGUAUCGAGUGCUUGUCACUUCACGAUUACUUCCGACUCGACCGCGGCGCCGGUUCUUUCGAUAGUCGUCGAAUCGUGUGCUAGUGCGCGAUCUCGAAAACGCUCGCUCGAAUCUCAUCUUCGAUUCCUCUUUUUCUUCAACAUCGUUUCGUAUGAAAUCAUAUCGAAUGUAACGUGCAACUUGGUCCGUCCAAAGUACAAGACAUCUAAUAAUUUUUGUCUGUUUCUUAUUUUUACGUUAAGCGUAGACGUCACUCUACUCCACUUCGUACCCGUAAUGAUACCCGUGUCUCGAUUAUUUUAAAUUCAAAUCUAUUAUAUAUCGCUAUAUAUAUAUAUCGCACAGUUUACGAUUAGUCGUUCAUCGCACCGUUUUAAUACCAUUAUUAUACACGCUUUUCCGUUAAAUAAGGCGUAAACGUUGAGCUCGCGCCCACGUUAAAUGUUUCUCGGGAAACACGAUAAAAAUAUCGAUUACGCGCGUUCCUUUAGAAUCUAUGCGGUCGCGGAGGAGCGACGAUCGUAAAAAUCAUUCUCGAGACGCGAAACGGUAAAUUCGGUUCUCAGCUAAAAUAGUAGUUGCGAGAAUUUUGCGUUGGCGAAUCAAUCGAAAGGUUAUUCGCGAUCGAACGAAGAAAAUAACGAAUAGGUCACGAUAUAGACCGCGUAUUUGUAUAUUUCCAUGAAAAAAUCCUCGCGUUUACAUGUCUCCGGUGGAAUCGUUCCAUUCUCCUUUUCUCUUUCUCUCUCUCUCUCUCUCUCUCUCUCUCUCUCUCUCUCUCUCUCUCUCUGUCUCUCUCUCCUCCCUUUUUUAUUACUUUUUCUUUGUUUUUUUUCCAAAGAAUUCGAUGCUUACUCGAUAUUAUCCGUUAACUCUUUUUCAUUGAUCUAUGCAAUCUUAUAUAUCGGUCGAUCUUGCACAUCGGCGAACGAGCAAGAAUGGAAGAAAAACGGAUAUCUUGAUUACGAGGAAGAGAAGAGGAAAGGAAACUGUUGCAUACGACGGUAGAACGAAAAAUACAAAAGAGAGAUAAGGAUAUCGCGUUCGUCACGUUUUCGCGCGUCGUAUGUACUUACAUACGUACGCGUUUCGAGUUUGCAUGCCUUCGUCCGUUGUGCUCUCCUCGUCAGUGCGUUCGCGACGGCGAACGGAAGAGAGGGAACGAGAGAGAAACGGGCAAAGCCAGUCGAGUUUUCACAAGAGCGACGCGCACGUGUGUAUGUAAGUACGUGCGCGAGUCCAAGUCAGCCAAGUUAUGUAACCGAUGAGGUAGCGUUCGGAGUAUCGUGCCGACACGUCGGAGCUUCGCUCAGCACUACCGUCGCGCGUCGUCUCUCGAGUAAACUGUUCGAAAGGGACCAAAACAGCAUCGCAAUUUUUCAUCGAUGCAGCGAAAAAGUCGUUAUUUCUUCUAUCCAUUGGAAUAUGGAAUAUAAAUGCGCGCACGUGCGCUUGCGCGUACAUACAAACACACGCACAUAUUGUUAGACUCUAAAUUUAUCUUUCAUGGCCACCGAGCGAUAUUACAGAUACGUAGAUUUACGAUACGUUCUUGUGCAUUUUUUUAUAGCACAAGAGAAAGUGAAUAAGAGUAGUUGUGCGGAUAAAAAGACAUCAUAACGUAUGGAAUAUGAUCGGUCGAAUGAACUAGUUACCGAUACCGUACGAAUUUGAGUAAAGAUGUUUAUCGAGGAAAAUGUACGACACGGUUCGUUAUAAUAGAUAUUAGAGUAUAACCGGAUUGAGAGAUUUUCUGUAAUCAUUUUCAGAAUUUUGACGCGCUUUCGAAACUUAUCUUGAUAAAUAUAUCGAAAUAUCGUGAUGCUUCUGUACGAAGAGUAAACGAUUAAGGGGUAGAGGGGAGACUGACCGCUCGGUGGCCUUCUUUCUCUCGAAUAGAACGAAAAGGAUGAAAAAGGAGGAAGAAGCAUGGGCGGCAUUGCGCAAUCGGCGAGUCCGUGUUGCGGAUGUCGUCGCUCUUGUCAGCUAGAAUAAUGAGAAACGUUGAAAGCGCGGGCGUUGUCCGGUCGCGUCAAGAUCCUUCGUCUGCAGUUCGAGGAUUACCUCACAUUUCAGGAAACGUUGCAUUAACUGCAUUCUCUCUCUUUCUCUCUUCCUUCUGCUCCUCCUCCUCCUCCUCUUUAUCGCCUCCUCGUUGCACGCGCACUUUAUAGCAGGAGAAAAAAAGAGAUAGAUUUUUGUCGCUAAACUUAUUAGUUUUCAGCUCCGAGGGAAAAUAAUGUCGAUAGCUCUAAAGCUCUCCUUUUGACGAGAACGCCUCGUAACGCUUGAUGGAACGUUAUCUUUACAAUUCCUCGAAAAUACCUUCUUCUCUUUCUCUCUCUCCCCCUGUCGGUAAGUUCUACGUUCCGGUGCAUCAGUGUCAUUGUCAAGUAGAAUUUGCCAAAGCAUUCGGAAGCAAACGGAAUCUCGUUUAUAACCGAUCAUCGAACGCAUACGAUGAUAUUUCUCGCGACAGAAAGAAAAUUUCUCCUAAGAGAAGCGACGGCCGCUGCGAAUUUCUAAUCGGUCUGACCAUGAAUUACCGAUUCCAUUACUUUUCCAAUUGAGUGUUAAGAAUUCGGUAGGUGUAUUAAACUGCAUUUCGAGGCGAUCGUAGCAGUUGCAUCUAUCAAAAGAAACCUAAUGAAAGUUUUCCUCGAAAGAACUCGAUAGAGAGAGAGAGAGAGACAUGAAAUCGUUGCGACUCGCAGACGCCAAGAUUUGUUCCACGUGACUUGUCGCCUCUCGUUUCCGCUUUCCAGUCGCAUGACGGACUACAAGGAAUGAAACCAUUGACGCGUUUCCGGCCACAGCGAGGACAAACGUGACAACGUAGAAGAGAAGAAGCGACGUUUAAAUCAAAGAUGUAUGGCUGGAACGUGAGAACGCUCUUUGAACUCUCGAAGGCAAGUGCCACAUCGAAGGGUCGAUCUACUCCAAUAAAUAGCCGAGGACGACCGUGAGAUUCGCCGAGUAACGAGUAACGAGAAACGAAAAACGGCGAAGGAUUUUAAUCCGUCCUCUCCUGUCCCCGAUCAUCUACGUCAUUGCGGUACGUGAUUUUACAAAGAGAAGCGAGGCAAGCUGGCAGACAAGCAAAACCAGGCAAGGAGGCCGGCAGGCAAGCAGACAGGAAAGCAGGCAGAUGGCGAAUGGAGUGGAGCGUUUUACGCCUGGCUUCUCGAAAUUCGAAUUAGGAAUCUUUCAUCGCGUUCAUUCCACUACAUCAUUCUUAUCGAUCUUUAAAUUGAAUUUUUUCGUUGAAUUGCUUUUAAAUCGAAGCGAUCUAACAACGAAUAAAAACGCUCUAUGGAAUACCGAAUACAUACUCAUCAUUUUUAUCUAUAUACUCAACGAUGAUAUAUCGUUGCACGCUGCGUUCUUCUUAUUAAGGGCUCUGCAACCAGGCCUGACCGCUCGAACACUCGUACUUUUUUGUUCAAUUAUAAAACAUGUGUUAUAUUGUCUAAAUUCGUAUUUUCUUCGAUAUCAAAUGAAAAACGAAAUUACUUGAGCGAGAUAGAUACAAUUUUAAAGGAAAUGACAACGCGCGAACAUAUUACGAGGAUAAUCGUAAAGGAUUCGUUCUUUCGAAUGUCAAAAUGAAUUUUUUCUCGAAGCAAAAUCGACUUUAGGAUCGACGCGACGGGAUAAUUUUCGCUCGGAGCUCGUCACGAUCAAAGAAGCUUGCUAAGUACGUUGACAGAGGAACUAGCGCACGCGAAUUUAUACGACUUUUGUUUUGGACUGAAGCUUUUAUAAAUGCUCCUCGCAGGCAGACAGAAAAGAGAGAGGGAGUGAGCGUGUGAGCGAGAGAGAGAGAGAGAGAGAGGAAGACAGUAUACAAACUCGAGGAGGAAAGAGGAACCAUCCGGACCGGAUGCCAGUCUAUGCGUCAGAAGACCCGUGGAAAAUUACUGUGAGCCAUAUGACAAAGUACACGACCGUACACGUUCGUACAUAUACCCUACAUAGGCCGUAUGAUCUUCCGCAAGUACGACAUUUCUCUUUGAUUUUGUACAAACCAUCCCAAGUUCGGAAGUAUCCUGUCGAGUAAAUAGCUGGUAAGUAACUGAUAUUUACUAUGCAUACAAGUUGCUCGCCUCGAGAAGGAAGGUAUCUCUUCUCGAGUAGAACUCGGAAUUAUUAACUUUUCGCUAUUUCGAGCGAAGCCUCCGCCGUGUUCAUAUAUGUAGGUAUACAGAGGCUACGUCGAUUCUCCAACUUCUCUCUCGAUUAACUUUCAAAAUUCUACUGAAAUUCGAAUUGAAAGUCGAAGAACCGGAUUAGCGACGGGGAAGAACCAAUAAUUGGUCGAGUAGAGUAAACGAUGGCGACUCGAGGAAAAAUUGUAUAAUGGUUGGGAAUAAUUAUCGCGCUACGGAUUAUCAUCUUUCGCGUAAACGAAUCGAAUAUAGAAACGGAAUCGUUUAACUCGUUAUACUUCCAUUUCGAAGAUAUAUUAUACUUUAUAAUCGAAUAUAUAGAGCAUGUAGGGUAUAAAAAGGCAUAAAGAGGAAGAACGAGAAAAAUGCGAACGAGUUUCUCUUUUCGUGCAAUUGCCGUUUAAAUUUUGGAAAUGAGAAAGAGAAAGAGAUAGAAACAUUUAUCAUCGAUUUUUCUUCGAAUAACAUUAUUGAUUCGAUUAAGGAUUAAGUAUAUGUACUACUUUAUACUACUUUAUAUAUCCACGUGUGGCGCGCGCGCGCGCGCGCGCGCGCGUGUGUGUGUGUGUGUGUGUGUCCAUGCACGUAUACGUACGUAUGUAUAUGUACGAACUUACAAACUUACGACUAGAGCUUGAAAAACAAUGAGUUACUUUGCAUAUCUCGAAUCUCCAGGUUUUCCUCUUUCCUCUUGCAAGUCCUCCGAAUGCGUCCGGUAUUAAUUAUCAACAAAGCUAAUGACUCGAAGUAGGGUCACGAGAUGCUUGUCAGCUAGAAGCAACUACUAAGAGCCCUAUGAGAAUCUUUACUACAUCGAUUUAUCCGUACUAUUAUAUGUAUUCAAACGCAUUUAUCUGAGACCCUUUACGUAACGGUAAAGUAUUUACCAAAAAUAAAAAAAGUCUUAGAUAAAAUAAACGAGAUAAUCGACUUUUGUAGAUACAGUUCCGUACUUACUACAAUUUCAUGACAAGUUACAAGAGGAAUCGCAAACAGGGGUCAAUGUCUUUCUUGUCCAUAAUAACAAAUGAUCGAAAAUAAAAGAUUAUCCAACGACAAAAGGAUCAACCCUUAUCGUGUUAUCGUUAAUAAAUAAAUAAAUAUAUAGGCGUACGGAAUAGCUUUUAUAUUUAUAUACUUGUAUCAUU